rnacentral:rRNA from 1 species
UUUUAAUGAGAGUUUGAUCCUGGCUCAGGAUGAACGCUGGCGGCGUGCCUAAUACAUGCAAGUAGAACGCUGAAGCUUGGUGCUUGCACCGAGCGGAUGAGUUGCGAACGGGUGAGUAACGCGUAGGUAACCUGCCUCUUAGCGGGGGAUAACUAUUGGAAACGAUAGCUAAUACCGCAUAA